rnacentral:rRNA from 1 species
AUACGGAGGGUGCGAGCGUUAAUCGGAAUUACUGGGCGUAAAGCGUGCGUAGGCGGUUUGCUAAGUCAGAUGUGAAAGCCCCGGGCUUAACCUGGGAACUGCAUUUGAUACUGGCAGACUAGAGUAUGAUAGAGGGGGGUAGAAUUCCUGGUGUAGCGGUGAAAUGCGUAGAUCUCAGGAGGAAUACCAGUGGCGAAGGCGGCCCCCUGGAUCAAUACUGACGCUGAGGUACGAAAGCGUGGGGAGCGAACAGGAUUAGAAACCCUAGUAGUCC